rnacentral:lncRNA from 1 species
UCUUCCUAGCCCCAAAUCCCUUAAGUUUUUAGAGGUCUAUGGUGAGAGAAGCUUGACUUGAGUUUUAACCUUAAAAGUGUGACCUUGGGCGAGUCAUCGUCUCUCUCUUUUUUUUUUCCGGAGCUGGGGAUCGAACCCAGGGCCUUGCGCUUGCUAGGCAAGCGCUCUACCACUGAGCUAAAUCCCCAAACCCAUCGUCUCUCUUUUCUAAGGCAUGGUCUUGAUACAUAGUCUUUUGUUUUUGAGACAGGAUUUCUGUGUAGUCCUGGCUGUUCUGCAACUCACUUUGUAGAUCAGACUGGCCUAAAACUCAGAUCCGCCUGCUCUCCUUGGUGCUGGGACUAAAGGCGUGUGCCACUGCCACCUGUCUGGCAUGGAACCCAGUGAUUCUCCACUGUAGCGUUUGAAUGUAGGAAUUACAGGAUGGGUCAGCAUGCCUGGUUUUCAAGGUCCCUUUUAAAGCUAUGAAUUUGUGGGUCUGGGUGGGCCAAGCAUUAAUCGGGCUCUGGGUGUUGCCGUGUUACAGAGAUGAUAUAGUCCUACUGCUUUUCCGGUUGGUGUUAAAGUCUGUUUGUUUCCUCCACAGUCAAUGACAACACAAACAGCAGAGUGGUCCUUUGGUCCUUCUUCGAAGCUCUUGUUCUUGUUGCCAUGACAUUGGGACAGAUCUACUACCUGAAGAGAUUUUUUGAAGUCCGGAGGGUUGUUUAAAAGGCCUUUUCCUAUUGAUCCCAAAUUCAUGAUUUACUUGUUUACCAAACACCUUGGUCAUAAUAAUGUCAUUAGUUUAUACAUUUUUAUUUUCUGAACGUUCAUGACUUAUGUUUCUUUGUGAUUAUUAGGUGUUGGGGAAAACCUGUUUAGGAAAGUUAGAGUGAAAAUUUGACAUUUGGUUGGCCUGUAAUUCUUACUUGAAAGCAGCCCAUGAUACAGGUCCUUUCAAGAGUUCAGAGGCUGUUGAUGCUGUAUGGGACUAUGGUCUUUAUUAUGUUUUUACCUUUGGUUUUCAUAGUAGAAUGCAGUUUUUCCAGGAAGUGCCCACAGCCUGACAUACUUGUUAACUAACUGCAUUCUAGUAGUUCCUUGGCUGUGCUUCAUCAUCAGAGGCUCCUUUUGUUUCUCCAGCAACAGCGAUCUGAAUCUUGACCCUUGUGGCCCCUCCUCAGGGCCAGGAGACCUGAUGGGGCAUGUUACCAGGGCGGGCACUCAUACUUUCUCUUGAGUUUGAUUUAAAGACUCAUCGCACACUUCCCCCUAAAGUUUUAUAUUGAACCUUAGAACUGAAUCACCUCUAAUUGAAUUGACACAAGCAGCCAAUAACUUAGCCGUCUGUCGAGUCCAGUUCCCCGGGUGUCAGACAGACAGACUGCUGUCCCUGUGUGCUGCAUAUCUGUCUGUUGUUGGCACUCAGGAAGAUGGAGUUCCUCACGUGGAAGCCUGCACUUCUCAAGCUAAAGGGUUAAACCUCUGGGAUUGCUUGCAGUGAUGGCAGCCACUGUUGUCCUUUUAGUCAGUGGCCUUCGUGCCCUGGUCUUCAGUGUCAGCAAUAGGGUUUAUUUGUCCUCUGGGGUCUUUCUUUUUUGGCACAUGUCAGUUUUGUUUAUAAAAGAUGAAGAGACUGUCUCUCUGAUGAUGGGCUUAAUGAAAGGCACUCUGCUUUGGGUGUGGGCGGUCCAGGAUUAUGUGGUGACUAAUGUCUGUUAGUUACCUGGAUAUUUUAUUUUUAUUUUUGGAUCUUGCAAGGGGAAAACUACAAGUAACAAGUUUUAUAAAUUUAAUUUAAAUUUGUUACAGGUUUUCAUGUUCAGGACAAAUAAUUUUUCAACCUUCGAUGAUAUCUUGCAACAGUUGGUUGGUGACUCUGUCACCCUAGGGCAGCUGUUGCAUGCCAAUUUUUUUGUGUGUGUAUGUGUGAAAACACUUCAGAAUUGAAUUAAAAGAUGUAAAUUUAAAAUCGGUUGUGUAUCUAAUAUGCCCCAAGUUCAGUAAAUAAACAAUUCUUUUUAAAAACA